GGGGGUGACAGGAUUCGACAGUUAUUCUUUGCUAAAAUCUGCAAGUAAAAGUUCUUAGAAUAAAUGCCAAUUUAUUCAAACAACCAGCUUACGCUUUAGCGUAACGCCAUCUGAAUAGUUGAUUCUCGAUAGACUAUCUCAGGUGUUAUAUAAAUCGAGAUGUCCGGUUUCUUUGCCUCGAAGAUUCCGGGAAAUUAAAGAGGCUGGAAAUGCUGAAGUUUUGUCUAUUUUAUAUUCAGUAUUUCGAACGGCAAAAUAGACUAAGCUUGUAGAAUGAUUUUAGUAAAAUUUCUGGAUCCGGGUUCAACUCUCGGCACCUCCACUU
rnacentral:tmRNA from 1 species